rnacentral:rRNA from 1 species
CCUACGGGAGGCAGCAGUGGGGAAUUUUGGACAAUGGGGGCAACCCUGAUCCAGCAAUGCCGCGUGAGUGAAGAAGGCCCUCGGGUUGUAAAGCUCUUUCACCGGUGAAGAUAAUGACGGUAACCGGAGAAGAAGCCUCGGCUAACUUCGUGCCAGCAGCCGCGGUAAU